rnacentral:lncRNA from 1 species
GCCUUGUGUCCUUGUCAGCCUGGGUCCCGGGGGCCUGGGGCCAUCUCCUGCAGGGAAGGCACAGCGAGGUUAUGGACUGGCUCCGGGGUAGAAGUAGUGAAUGGCUUGGGUGAUGGGGACAGCAGCCACCCGUCUGUAUUGUCCUCCCCACGCGGGGCAGGGGCUCUUGGGUGGGGCUGUAUUUAAAAACCUUCAUGCAGUUGCUGAACAAGUCAACUGUGACUUCCGGUCCUGUGAUACUUUAUGACUGUCCUGUCCCUGCCCCACAUCCGUCUUGGCUAAAAGUUGUUCCUGGGUCCCAUGGUCCCGUCAUUGGGAGGCACAUGGGGCCGAUCCCAGCUGAUCACAGACAAAGAGGCUGGUCACCUUCUCUGUUCUGCAUCACACCGACCUGGACCAGUGUGCUGUGAAGGAGCACCCCGACCUUCAUCUGCAGCCAUGCUGGGGCACCUCCAGCAGGGACGAGGUGGCCUCAGAGUGGCUGCUGCCCUGCUCUGUUCCGGUCUGACUUUGUCUCUCUGUCCUGGGCACUUGGCCUCGGGUGGAGACUGCUCUGUGGUGACACGUGCACAUUGUAGAGAGUCCUGAUUUUGUCCUACACCUCUACGGGUGUUCGGAAGGACAAGAAGGAGCCAUGGCACAGAGGUUGGGGGUGACAGUUCCUUGGAGGAGAGACCAAACUCCCUCAGAGACGAAGGAGAUUUGGGACCGACACCUGAUGGGAGGUGGCCCCACCCCGUCCUCACAGCCGCAGGAAAGCCAUCUCUCUGGUCGAGUUCUGUUCCCAUCUCUGUGCAACGGAGAGGGCCCAGGAAACAGGUGCCUGC